rnacentral:lncRNA from 1 species
GGACUCUUUCGCAAGUGAACACAAGCUACACCUUUAGUCAAUCUAUAGAAAGUGUAGUCUAUCCUUUGUCAAUAGCUUGUUGAUAACUAACCAUGUUAUAAAUGCAUGCUUUUGUGUAACAAAUGAGUUCCAAAUUGUUUUAUCUCAGAUAACCUUUACUCCCUUCGGCCUAAAAUAUUCAUAUGCUUGGGAGACAUUGAAUCUACCGUUAGUAGCCCAACUGGACAGCAAGCUUGCAGCCAAUAAUUCAGCAUUUCCAACCAAAAAUACAUCAUUUCCAGCAUCAUAGUCAGUAUUUUCAGCACCAAUAUGAGCAUUCCCAGCACCAGAAUUAUCAUUUCCAGCAGCAGAAAUAUUAAUUUCUGCAUGUCCAGCAGGAUAUACAGCGUUAACAGCAGGAAAAACAGUAUUUGGAGCAACAAUUUCAGCUUUCC